GCAAGGAUGACAAUCUUUGGUUUUGAUCAGCGAUGAAAAUAAACCAUUAAUUCCUCUAAGAAGUUCUGAGCUC